AUCUACCCUUGGUCAGGUUGAAGUUCAGGUAACACUGAAUGGAGGACCGAACCGACUUACGUUGAAAAGUGAGCGGAUGAACUGAGGGUAGCGGAGAAAUUCCAAUCGAACCUGGAGAUAGCUGGUUCUCUCCGAAAUAGCUUUAGGGCUAGCCUCAAGUGAUGAUUAUUGGAGGUAGAGCACUGUUUGGACGAGGGGCCCCUCUCGGGUUACCGAAUUCAGACAAACUCCGAAUGCCAAUUAAUUUAACUUGGGAGUCAGAACAUGGGUGAUAAGGUCCGUGUUCGAAAGGGAAACAGCCCAGACCACCAGCUAAGGUCCCAAAAUAUAUGUUAAGUGGAAAAGGAUGUGGCGUUGCCCAGACAACUAGGAUGUUGGCUUAGAAGCAGCCAUCAUUUAAAGAGUGCGUAAUAGCUCACUAGUCGAGUGACACUGCGCCGAAAAUGUACCGGGGCUAAACAUAUUACCGAAGCUGUGGAUUGUCCUUUGGACAAUGGUAGGAGAGCGUUCUAAGGGCGUUGAAGCAUGAUCGUAAGGACAUGUGGAGCGCUUAGAAGUGAGAAUGCCGGUGUGAGUAGCGAAAGACGGGUGAGAAUCCCGUCCACCGAUUGACUAAGGUUUCCAGAGGAAGGCUCGUCCGCUCUGGGUUAGUCGGGUCCUAAGCUGAGGCCGACAGGCGUAGGCGAUGGAUAACAGGUUGAUAUUCCUGUACCACCUAUAAUCGUUUUAAUCGAUGGGGGGACGCAGUAGGAUAGGCGAAGCGUGCGAUUGGAUUGCACGUCUAAGCAGUAAGGCUGAGUAUUAGGCAAAUCCGGUACUCGUUAAGGCUGAGCUGUGAUGGGGAGAAGACAUUGUGUCUUCGAGUCGUUGAUUUCACACUGCCGAGAAAAGCCUCUAGAUAGAAAAUAGGUGCCCGUACCGCAAACCGACACAGGUAGUCAAGAUGAGAAUUCUAAGGUGAGCGAGCGAACUCUCGUUAAGGAACUCGGCAAAAUGACCCCGUAACUUCGGGAGAAGGGGUGCUCUUUAGGGUUAACGCCCAGAAGAGCCGCAGUGAAUAGGCCCAAGCGACUGUUUAUCAAAAACACAGGUCUCUGCUAAACCGUAAGGUGAUGUAUAGGGGCUGACGCCUGCCCGGUGCUGGAAGGUUAAGAGGAGUGGUUAGCUUCUGCGAAGCUACGAAUCGAAGCCCCAGUAAACGGCGGCCGUAACUAUAACGGUCCUAAGGUAGCGAAAUUCCUUGUCGGGUAAGUUCCGACCCGCACGAAAGGCGUAACGAUUUGGGCACUGUCUCAACGAGAGACUCGGUGAAAUCAUAGUACCUGUGAAGAUGCAGGUUACCCGCGACAGGACGGAAAGACCCCGUGGAGCUUUACUGUAGCCUGAUAUUGAAAUUCGGCACAGCUUGUACAGGAUAGGUAGGAGCCUUUGAAACGUGAGCGCUAGCUUACGUGGAGGCGCUGGUGGGAUACUACCCUAGCUGUGUUGGCUUUCUAACCCGCACCACUUAUCGUGGUGGGAGACAGUGUCAGGCGGGCAGUUUGACUGGGGCGGUCGCCUCCUAAAAGGUAACGGAGGCGCUCAAAGGUUCCCUCAGAAUGGUUGGAAAUCAUUCAUAGAGUGUAAAGGCAUAAGGGAGCUUGACUGCGAGACCUACAAGUCGAG
rnacentral:rRNA from 1 species